UCGAGACUUCGGGUCUAGCGGCGGACGGGUGAGUAACGCGUGGGAACGUGCCCUUCUCUACGGAAUAGCCCCGGGAAACUGGGAGUAAUACCGUAUACGCCCUUUGGGGGAAAGAUUUAUCGGAGAAGGAUCGGCCCGCGUUGGAUUAGGUAGUUGGUGGGGUAAUGGCCCACCAAGCCGACGAUCCAUAGCUGGUUUGAGAGGAUGAUCAGCCACACUGGGACUGAGACACGGCCCAGACUCCUACGGGAGGCAGCAGUGGGGAAUCUUAGACAAUGGGGGCAACCCUGAUCUAGCCAUGCCGCGUGAGUGAUGAAGGCCUUAGGGUUGUAAAGCUCUUUCAGCUGGGAAAGAUUAUGACGGUACCAGCAGAAGAAGCCCCGGUCUAAACUCCGUGCCAGCAGCCGCGGUAAUACGGAAGGGGGCUAGCGUUGUUCGGAAUUACUUGGGCUUAAAGCGCACCGUUUAGGGCCNGGAACUUGGACACACGUCCCGAAGGUUGACAAUCCCCCAGNGGGCUCCAACCCUUUGUGGA
rnacentral:rRNA from 1 species